rnacentral:rRNA from 1 species
UACGGAGGGUGCAAGCGUUAUCCGGAUUCACUGGGUUUAAAGGGUGCGUAGGUGGGCAGGUAAGUCAGUGGUGAAAUCUCUGGGCUUAACCCGGAAACUGCCAUUGAUACUAUCUGUCUUGAAUACCGUGGAGGUUAGCGGAAUAUGUCAUGUAGCGGUGAAAUGCUUAGAUAUGACAUAGAACACCAAUUGCGAAGGCAGCUGGCUACACGAAAUAUUGACACUGAUGCACGAAAGCGUGGGGAUCAAACAGG